GGUAUUUUCGUCAGACGUACAAAAUCAAGUGCGUUAACGUAUCCGAACCGGUACCGAAUUUUAUAAUGGGAUGAAGUAUUGGUAACCUUUAAUUUUGUAUUUUUCUCAACAAAGUGAAUACAAAAACUAAGCAUAAAUAUAAAUAAAUAUGUUUAAUUUUGUUAACAAUUUUUUGAGGCGUCUUCCAAACACUCGUCUUUGGUAUCAAAGCAGUCGUAACAGUCGCACCAUAGGCGGGCAGCAUCUGCAUAUGUGCAAAUUAUAUUCUUCUCCUCCAUUAUAUAUGCAUAUGCAUGCUUUGAAAUCUCAUCAUCAUUAAUAUUAAUCUCGGUUUUGCCACUAGUAGUUUUACCUGCGUAUAUAUAUAUAUAUAGCCAUAGCCAUAGCCAUAGCCAUAGCCAUAGCCAUAGCCAUGGUAGAUAAGAUGAACAAUUAGUGGUAGGUAGGUAGGUAAGGUGUAAAUAAAUAAGGUUAUAAUUAAGAUCGAUAGAAUAGAGAGAAACUUACAUUCAACAACACCCAAGAGUGCAGUAGCGAUGAAGAGGAUACAAAAGAGAGCCAAUAUUUG
rnacentral:lncRNA from 1 species